GUGUCAGCAGCCGCGGUAAAACGUAGGAUCCGAGCGUUAUCCGAAUUUACUGGGCGUAAAGCGCGUGUAGGCGGUUCGAUAAGUUGGAUGUGAAAUCUCCUGGCUCAACUGGGAGAGGUCGUUCAAUACUGUCGGACUAGAGGGUGGUAGAGGGAGGUGGAAUUCCCGGUGUAGUGGUGAAAUGCGUAGAUAUCGGGAGGAACACCUGUGGCGAAAGCGGCCUCCUGGCCCACUCCUGACGCUCAGACGCGAAAGCUAGGGGAGCGAACGGGAUUAGAUACCCUUGUAGUCC
rnacentral:rRNA from 1 species